rnacentral:rRNA from 1 species
CAAAAAGCGGAAAAGAAAAUAACCAUGAUUCCCUUAGUAACGGCGAGUGAACAGGGAAAAGCCCAAAUUUGUAAUCUGGCACUUUUUACAAGUGUCCGAGUUGUAAUUUGUAGAACUGUUAUCCGUGCUGGACCAUGUACAAGUCUGUUGAAAAGCAGCAUCAUUGAAGGUGAAAAUCCUGUAGAUGAUAUGGACUACCAGUGCAUUUGUGAUACGGUUUCUAAGAGUCGAGUUGUUUGGGAAUGCAGCUCAAAGUGGGUGGUAAAUUCCAUCUAAGGCUAAAUAUAAGUGAGAGACCGAUAGCAAACAAGUACCGUGAGGGAAAGAUGAAAAGAACUUUGAAAAUAGAGUUAACAGUACGUGAAAUUGCUGAAAGGGAAACGUUUGAAGUUAGUUUUGUAUUCGUUGGAUCAGCUUCGCAAGGAGUGUAUUCUGAUGAUAAGCAAGUCAACAUCAAUCUAUGGGUGUCGGAGAAGGGUUUUGAGAAUGUAGCAAUUUUUAUUAAUUGUGUUAUAGCUUGAGACUUGGAUACGAUGCUUUGGAUUGAGGAACGCGUAGUAAGCUUUGAGCGGAUUCGAAAGGAUCUCCUUACUAUGGAUGUUG